UACGUAGGGGGCAAGCGUUAUCCGGAUUUACUGGGUGUAAAGGGAGCGUAGACGGUGAGACAAGUCUGAAGUGAAAGCCCGGGGCUCAACCCCGGGACUGCUUUGGAAACUGCCUGACUGGAGUGCUGGAGAGGCAAGCGGAAUUCCUAGUGUAGCGGUGAAAUGCGUAGAUAUUAGGAAGAACUCCGAUUGCGAAGGCAGCUCACUGGACUGCAACUGACACUGAGGCUCGAAAGUGUGGGUAUCAAACAGG
rnacentral:rRNA from 1 species